AGAUGUUUUGGGACUACAACUCCCAUCACCCCUAGCUAACAGGACCAGUGGUCAGGGAUGAUGGGAGUUGUAGUCCCAAAACAUUU